GAUGAACGCUGGCGGCGUGCUUAACACAUGCAAGUCGAACGAUGAUGCACCGCUUGCGGUGUGGAUUAGUGGCGAACGGGUGAGUAACACGUGAGUAACCUGCCCUUGACUCUGGGAUAAGCCUGGGAAACUGGGUCUAAUACCGGAUAUGACCUUUCACCGCAUGGUGGGGGGUGGAAAGCUUUUGUGGUUUUGGAUGGACUCGCGGGCUAUCAGCUUGUUGGUGGGGUAAUGGCCUACCAAGGCGAUGACGGGUAGCCGGCCUGAGAGGGUGACCGGCCACACUGGGACUGCGACACGGCCCAGACUCCUACGGGAGGCAGCAGUGGGGAAUAUUGCACAAUGGGCGGAAGCCUGAUGCAGCGACGCCGCGUGAGGGAUGACGGCCUUCGGGUUGUAAACCUCUUUCAGUAGGGAAGAAGCGAAAGUGACGGUACCUGCAGAAGAAGCGCCGGCUAACUACGUGCCAGCCGCCGCCGUAA
rnacentral:rRNA from 1 species